CAACAGUUUCUAAAAUACCCUUUUCCUGAUUCGACUGUCUCUUCUCUUCCACGGGAAAAAACCAACCACUGGAAAUCUAUCAAACUAAUGAAAAAAUUGUAUCGCAUGUCGUGAUCUGAAUGGAAAUCCAAUAGUUGUCAUUCAAGUUGGUAGCUUAAGCGACAAAAAGGGCCGUUUAACAUCAGAAGCAACAAGGUAGACUGGUGGUACUGAUGGUGGCUCUACCCCUACUUCUUCCAUUGAGGGCUAUAACUGAACAAUCAAAUAAUAUCCCUCCAAAGCAAUAAACUAUGAGACAUUGGCAAAUUGGGAAACAAUCAUGCAGUAACAAUUGCGGAGACCAUAAACAGUUUACAAAAUGUCUGAUAAGAAACGUCGGAGUCUUGUAACUUUUGUUGAAAGAAAAUGCAUAUAUUACCAUUGAAACAAACUCUAAGUUUUCAAGUUAGUAUUAAAGUGAGGAAGGUAUCGCAAGAAUAGUUAUAAUCAUCUCAUAAUCCAAGCAAAUAUGUAUCAUUCUUUUUUUA